GAAUUCGCCCUUAGAGUUUGAUCCUGGCUCAGGAUGAACGCUGGCGGCGUGCUUAACACAUGCAAGUCGAACGGGAAUUACUUUAUUGAAACUUCGGUCGAUUUAAUUUAAUUCUAGUGGCGGACGGGUGAGUAACGCGUGGGUAACCUGCCUUAUACAGGGGGAUAACAGUCAGAAAUGGCUGCUAAUACCGCAUAAGCGCACAGAGCUGCAUGGCUCAGUGUGAAAAACUCCGGUGGUAUAAGAUGGACCCGCGUUGGAUUAGCUAGUUGGUGGAGUAACGGCCCACCAAGGCGACGAUCCAUAGCCGGCCUGAGAGGGUGAUCGGCCACAUUGGGACUGAGACACGGCCCAGACUCCUACGGGAGGCAGCAGUGGGGAAUAUUGCGCAAUGGGGGAAACCCUGACGCAGCAACGCCGCGUGCAGGAAGAAGGUCUUCGGAUUGUAAACUGUUGUCGCAAGGGAAGAAGACAGUGACGGUACCUUGUGAGAAAGUCACGGCUAACUACGUGCCAGCAGCCGCGGUAAUACGUAGGUGACAAGCGUUGUCCGGAUUUACUGGGUGUAAAGGGCGCGUAGGCGGGAUAGCAAGUCAGUCGUGAAAUACCGAGGCUCAACCUCGGGGCUGCGAUUGAAACUGUUAUUCUUGAGUAUCGGAGAGGAAAGCGGAAUUCCUAGUGUAACGGUGAAAUGCGUAGAUAUUCGGAGGAACACCAGUGGCGAAGGCGGCCUACUGGGCUUUAACUGACGCUGAGGCUCGAAAGUGUGGGGAGCAAACAGGAUUAGAUACCCUGGUAGUCCACACUGUAAACGAUGAUUGCUAGGUGUGGGGGGUCUGACCCCCUCCGUGCCGGAGUUAACGCAAUAAGCAAUCCACCUGGGGAGUACGGCCGCAAGGUUGAAACUCAAAGGAAUUGACGGGGGCCCGCACAAGCAGUGGAUUAUGUGGUUUAAUUCGAAGCAACGCGAAGAACCUUACCAGGUCUUGACAUCCGACUAACGAGAUAGAGAUAUGUCAGGUGCCCUACGGGGAAAGUCGAGACAGGUGGUGCAUGGUUGUCGUCAGCUCGUGUCGUGAGAUGUUGGGUUAAGUCCCGCAACGAGCGCAACCCCUGCCAUUAGUUGCUACGCAAGAGCACUCUAAUGGGACCGCUACCGACAAGGUGGAGGAAGGUGGGGACGACGUCAAAUCAUCAUGCCCCUUAUGACCUGGGCUACACACGUAAUACAAUGGCCGUUAACAACGAGGAGCAAACCCGCGAGGGGGAGCAAAACUUGAAAAACGGUCUCAGUCCGGAUUGCAGGCUGCAACUCGCCUGCAUGAAGUUGGAAUUGCUAGUAAUCGCGGAUCGGCAUGCCGCGGUGAAUACGUUCCCGGGCCUUGCACACACCGCCCGUCA
rnacentral:rRNA from 1 species